CGUUGAUUUGUUACCAGAACCCCGAGCCUGGGCUCUUCCUAGCAAGUGACAGCCUUAGUUGUUGUUUUCUGUAUGUAAAACUGUGGCAGCCGCACUCCUGCUUAGCAGCCUGGUUGUGGUUGUGAAAGCAUCCAGUAGAGAAGAGGAUGGCCUCCCUCCCGAAGUUCCCGCUGUUUUAUUUCGGACAGAAGUGACUCAACACAUCAUUUAUCAUACAGAUAAUAAACAGGCGCAUGCGCUCUGGGCUCUUCUACUCGGCUCUCAAGGCUUCAAAAAGCUGACAAAGCUUUACUGAGCACCCAUGAAACAGUAAUUGUGCUAGAUACUCAGGACUGAGAGAUUUAAACAAACCCAGUACUUUUGUUACGGCGCCACUGCUUCCCGCUGAAAUCUUGCUGUGAUCUGUCGUCCUUUUUCACAGAGACUUGAGAAAUUAGUGAUAACGGGUGGUAAAACAACUCUUGUAAUUAUUUGCUUGUAAUAUAAAUAAUGUUUUAACACGA